rnacentral:rRNA from 1 species
AUUGAACGCUGGCGGCAGGCCUAACACAUGCAAGUCGAACGAGUGGCGGACGGGUGAGUAAUGUCUGGGAAACUGCCUGAUGGAGGGGGAUAACUACUGGAAACGGUAGCUAAUACCGCAUACCAUCAGAUGUGCCCAGAUGGGAUUAGCUAGUUGGUGGGGUAACGGCUCACCAAGGCGACGAUCCCUAGCUGGUCUGAGAGGAUGACCAGCCAAACUGGACCUGAGACACGGUCACAACUCCACCGGGAGGCGGCAGUGGGGAAUAUUGCACAAUGGGCGCAGGCCUGAUACAGCCAUGCCGCGGGUAUGAAGAAGGCCUUCGGGUUGUAAAGUACUUUCAGCGGGGAGGCGUUACCCGCAGAAGAAGCACCGGCUAACUCCGUGCCAGCCGCCGCGGUAAUUC